CUUUCCCUCUGGCGGCAUGCUUUACACAUGCAAGUCGAACGGCAGCGCGGGCUUCGGCCUGGCGGCGAGUGGCGAACGGGUGAGUAAUGCAUCGGAACGUGCCCAGUAGUGGGGGAUAGCCCGGCGAAAGCCGGAUUAAUACCGCAUACGACCUGAGGGUGAAAGCGGGGGACCGAAAGGCCUCGCGCUAUUGGAGCGGCCGAUGUCGGAUUAGCUAGUUGGUGGGGUAAAGGCUUACCAAGGCGACGAUCCGUAGCUGGUCUGAGAGGACGACCAGCCACACUGGGACUGAGACACGGCCCAGACUCCUACGGGAGGCAGCAGUGGGGAAUUUUGGACAAUGGGGGCAACCCUGAUCCAGCCAUGCCGCGUGCGGAAAGAAGGCCUUCGGGUUGUAAACCGCUUUUGUUCGGGAAGAAAUCCUCUGGGCUAAUACCCCGGGGGGAUGACGGUACCGGAAGAAUAAGCACCGGCUAACUACGUG
rnacentral:rRNA from 1 species